rnacentral:lncRNA from 1 species
CAUGUCUCUUUCCUCUCUGGGAAACAAGUCGCGACUCAGGGAUAAGCCUGAGACACAUGGAGAGAACAUCCUGAUCAAUCUGGUCUUUGCUGCUACCCUGGUCAACAGCCUGAGCUGGAUACCUGGCUGACAAGUACCACCUUUUUCCUACACAGAUGACAACCCAGCCCAUGAGCACCAGAUGCCACUGCUACUCCUUCACUUGCUCAUUCUGCAAAAGUUUGUAGAUCUUCUGCAAGGAGAACGGCAUUGUUAACUACCUACAGGAAGUGGUGUUGAUUUCCAAGAAAGAUCUUGUUCUUCAAACUCUGUUACAGCGUCUUCUCUGGAGAAGUCAACAGUGAGAUGGGCUAAAUGAAGAAGGAGCAGCUUAUUGUCUUUGUUGGUUUUCUUUAUUUUCCUUCGAAGCAUCUGGGGGAAGAGGAAGACAAUGGAUGAGAUGGCGUAUGUUCUUUCCGCCCUGUGAAUGAAUCAGAUUUGAACUCCUAAGCAAAAUAGAAAAUGCAGAAAUGGUGCUCAGGCAAAACCUGAGAGACACCGGGCUCAAGCGACUCUCCUCUGAAGUCCAUCUGAUAAAGUCUGAAUUAUGGAUAAGUCCUUUCCCCCUCAAUAGUCUACUGCUUACUAAAGUGUAGCUCAAUGACUCUGUGGGCUUGGGUAAUCAGCAGGUAAGCAUAGCUAUGCCCAAUGAAGCAGGGGCUGUGAGAAGAAGCCUUGAAGAGUACCUAAAGUAGAAAAUAAGUGAACUUUCUCCUAAGCCCAUAGGAAACAUCACUAUCCUGCUGAAGGCAGGGCAGAGGGAACACAGCAGAGUAGGCUCAGAAUAACUGGGAUUUGGGCACUGAUAUUAAUGUCACCAUAUCUACACUUAUUGAUUGUUGAGAUUAUACAUUUGGCUUGAAACCACAGGAACUAAUAUACUCUAAAUAUAAGCUGAGAAAAAUUAAAAAUAACCACAACUACAACAGUAGAAAGAGAAAAUAUAUGAAUGCCAAGAAUCUAAUGUGUAAAUUAACUACAAGGGUUUAGAAGUUUUGGGCAUCUCCCUGGGGAUUAGCUGUGCUCAGUCUCCCCUCCAGGAAAUCAUUUACAACUCUAUGUCUGUUACCCCAAAAUGACUUAAAUGAAGUUUAGGAUAAGACAGAGACAAGUUCAGAACAA